rnacentral:rRNA from 1 species
AGUAAAAGUCGUAACAAGGUUUCCGUAGGUGAACCUGCGGAAGGAUCAUUACUGAGUGAGGGCCCUCUGGGUCCAACCUCCCACCCGUGUUUAUUGUACCUUGUUGCUUCGGUGCGCCCGCCUCACGGCCGCCGGGGGGCUUCUGCCCCCGGGUCCGCGCGCACCGGAGACACUAUUGAACUCUGUCUGAAGAUUGCAGUCUGAGCAUAAACUAAAUAAGUUAAAACUUUCAACAACGGAUCUCUUGGUUCCGGCAUCGAUGAAGAACGCAGCGAAAUGCGAUAACUAAUGUGAAUUGCAGAAUUCAGUGAAUCAUCGAGUCUAUGAACGCACAUUGCGCCCCCUGGUAUUCCGGGGGGCAUGCCUGUCCGAGCGUCAUUGCUGCCCUCAAGCACGGCUUGUGUGUUGGGCUCCGUCCCCCCGGGGACGGGUCCGAAAGGCAGCGGCGGCACCGAGUCCGGUCCUCGAGCGUAUGGGGCUUUGUCACCCGCUCUGUAGGCCCGGCCGGCGCCAGCCGACAACCAAUCAUCCUUUUUUCAGGUUGACCUCGGAUCAGGUAGGGAUACCCGCUGAACUUAAGCAUAUCAAUAAGCGGAGGA